rnacentral:rRNA from 1 species
GGGGUGGCCAGCGCCCGCCAGAGGACCAUCAAACUCCAGUCAGUAAACGAUGCAGUCUGAAAAACAUUUAAUAAACUAAAACUUUCAACAACGGAUCUCUUGGUUCUGGCAUCGAUGAAGAACGCAGCGAAAUGCGAUAAGUAAUGUGAAUUGCAGAAUUCAGUGAAUCAUCGAAUCUUUGAACGCACAUUGCGCCCUUUGGUAUUCCGAAGGGCAUGCCUGUUCGAGCGUCAUUACAACCCUCAAGCUCUGCUUGGUAUUGGGCACCGUCCUUUGCGGGCGCGCCUCAAAGACCUCGGCGGUGGCGUCUUGCCUCAAGCGUAGUAGAACAUACAUCUCGCUUCGGAGCGCAGGGCGUCGCCCGCCGGACGAACCUUCUGAACUUUUCUCAAGGUUGACCUC